rnacentral:rRNA from 1 species
AGAGUUUGAUCCUGGCUCAGGAUGAACGCUAGCGGCGGGCCUAAUACAUGCAAGUCGAACGGGAUUGGAGUAGCAAUAUUCCAUGAGAGUGGCGACCGGGUGCGUAACACGUAUGCAACCUACCUAAUACUGGGGUAUAGCCUCUCGAAAGAGAGAUUAAUCCCCCAUAAUACUGUGAAGAGGCAUCUCUUUACAUUUAAAGCUUCGGCGGUAUUAGAUGGGCAUGCGUCCUAUUAGCUAGUUGGUGAGGUAACGGCUCACCAAGGCUACGAUAGGUAGGGGGUCUGAGAGGAUGAUCCCCCACACUGGUACUGAAACACGGACCAGACUCCUACGGGAGGCAGCAGUAGGGAAUAUUGGUCAAUGGACGAAAGUCUGAACCAGCCACGCCGCGUGAAGGAUGAAGGCCCUAUGGGUUGUAAACUUCUUUUGUCAGGGAAAAAACCCCCAUACGUGUAUGGGGCUGAUUGUACCUGGAGAAUAAGGAUCGGCUAACUCCGUGCCAGCAGCCGCGGUA